GGCAACAUGGCCGAGUUGGUUAUGGCGUUAGACUCAAGUGUCUUUACACACCUUGCACUGUACACAACAGUGUUGUAUUCUAAUGGAGCAAUCCGCACGAGUUCGAAUCUCGUUGUUGUCA
rnacentral:tRNA from 1 species